AGUGAACGCUGGCGGUAGGCCUAACACAUGCAAGUCGAACGGCAGCACAGUAAGAGCUUGCUCUUACGGGUGGCGAGUGGCGGACGGGUGAGGAAUACAUCGGAAUCUACUUUUUCGUGGGGGAUAACGUAGGGAAACUUACGCUAAUACCGCAUACGACCUACGGGUGAAAGCAGGGGAUCUUCGGACCUUGCGCGAUUGAAUGAGCCGAUGUCGGAUUAGCUAGUUGGCGGGGUAAAGGCCCACCAAGGCGACGAUCCGUAGCUGGUCUGAGAGGAUGAUCAGCCACACUGGAACUGAGACACGGUCCAGACUCCUACGGGAGGCAGCAGUGGGGAAUAUUGGACAAUGGGCGCAAGCCUGAUCCAGCCAUACCGCGUGGGUGAAGAAGGCCUUCGGGUUGUAAGGCCCUUUUGUUGGGAAAGAAAAGCAGCAGGUUAAUACCCCGCUGUUCUGACGGUACCCAAAGAAUAAGCACCGGCUAACUUCGUA
rnacentral:rRNA from 1 species